GUGAAUAACCCAGACACUAAAAAGCAAGGCAGCGGGGGUCCUACCAGCGCGGCUUUUGAUGACGUCGGUGAAUCCGUCCUCAGCGGCAUUUUCUGGGGUCUCCUGCAGACCCCUCAGCUGUGCCAUAACCAAACGCCACGUGCCUCAGCUUCCUCACGCCCCAAACUUUGGAAGGCAGGUCACAUGGAAUCUACACAUGGAAGGACAUAGGCAUUGCAUGCAGGUAUCCGGAAUCAUUGAUAUUGGUCUUAAAAUUUGGAAGUUUCCACUUUUGCUAAGCCAUGUGAGGACACAACAAGAAGGCAUCACCAAUGAAGAAUAGGCCUUCAUCAGACAUCCAAUCUGCAGGCCUCUUG
rnacentral:lncRNA from 1 species